rnacentral:rRNA from 1 species
AACGAACGCUGGCGGCAUGCCUAACACAUGCAAGUCGAACGAGAUCUUCGGGUCUAGUGGCGCAGGGGUGCGUAACGCGUGGGAAUCUGCCGUUUGGUUAGGAAUAACAGUUGGAAACGACUGCUAAUACCGGAUGAUGACGAAAGUCAACAGAUUUAUCGCCAGAGGAUGAGCCCGCGUAGGAUUAGCUAGUUGGUGUGGUAAAGGCGCACCAAGGCGACGAUCCCUAGCUGGUCUGAGAGGAUGAUCAGCCACACUGGGACUGAGACACGGCCCAGACUCCUACGGGAGGCAGCAGUGGGGAAUAUUGGACAAUGGGCGAAAGCCUGAUCCAGCAAUGCCGCGUGAGUGAUGAAGGCCUUAGGGUUGUAAAGCUCUUUUACCCGGGAUGAUAAUGACAGUACCGGGAGAAUAAGCUCCGGCUAGCUCCGUGCCAGCCGCCGCAGUAA